rnacentral:rRNA from 1 species
UACAGAGGUCUCAAGCGUUGUUCGGAUUCAUUGGGCGUAAAGGGUGCGUAGGCGGCGCGGUAAGUCGGGUGUGAAAUCUCGGAGCUUAACUCCGAAACUGCAUUCGAUACUGCCGUGCUUGAGGACUGGAGAGGAGACUGGAAUUUUACGGUGUAGCGGUGAAAUGCGCAGAUAUCAGGAAGAACACCUAUGGCGAAGGCAGCUCUCUGGGACGGUACUGACGCUGAGACGCGAAAGCGUGGGGGAGCAAACAGG